rnacentral:misc_RNA from 1 species
ACGUGAAAAUGCGCGCAAUGCAGCGCUUCUUCGAAGAAGGCGACAAGGUGAAAAUCACCUUGCGCUAUCGUGGCCGCGAAAUGGCGCACCAGGAAAUCGGUACCAAGCUGCUCGACAAGGUCAAAGCAGACGUCGCCGAAUACGCCAAGGUGGAGCAGGACGCGCGCUUCGAAGGUCGUCAAGUGGUGAUGGUGCUUGCACCGCGCUGAUCACAGCGCCGACUGACCUUAACGAGGUUGGUAAUCAGAAAUUUCGGCCCGUCAGAUUUCUGGCGGG